rnacentral:lncRNA from 1 species
GGGCCGUUUGCAAUCAACCUCCAAAUUUCAGCCCAUUCUGACACCAUCGCGAAAAAUGACAAAAAUGGCCCUGGUGUGGUUUUGCUUUGUUAAUUUUCUGUCCAACACUUCUUCAACCUGACUGAAUUAAUAAGGAUAUUAAUUAUUCGGAGGCCCAAACGAAGGAAUUUGGCUAUAAUCCCAUGAUCCCAGGUCUGUGCCCCGAUUCCAAUUUCGGGGGCUGUUUCAAAUCAACAAGCUAAAUUUUGGCCCAUUCCGAUACCGUCGCGACAAAUGACAAAAUUACCCCUUCGGUGGUUUUUCUUUGUUAAUUUUCUGUCCAGUGCUUCUUCAACAUGACAUAAUUAGUACGGAAAUUAAUAAUUCGUUGGCUAAAACGAAGGAGUUUGGCUUCAAUCCUGUGAUCCCGAGUCCGUACCCCGAGUCCAAUUUCUCGGGCCGUUUCCAAUCAACCUACCAAAUUUCGCCCCAUUCCGACACCGUCACGAAAAAUGAUAAAAUUGCCCGGGGUGCAAUUUUGCUUUGUUAAUUUUCUGCCCAACACUUUCUCAACCUGACAUAAUUAGUAAGGAAAUUAAUUAUUUCGAGGCCCAAACGAAGGAAUUUGGAUAAAAUCCCGUGAUCCCGGGUCUGUGCCCCGAGUCCAAUUUCGUGUGCCGUUUCCAGUGAACCUUCCAAAUUUCGGCCCAUUCCGACGCCAUCACGACAAAUGACAAAAUUGCCCCUGGUGCGGUUUUUCAUUGUUAAUUUUCUGUCCAGCACUUCUUUUUAACAUGACAUAAUUAAUACGAAAAUUAAUUAUUUGGAGGCCCAAACGAAGGAAUUUAGCUAAAAUCUCGUGAUCCCGGGUCUGUGCCCCGAGUCCAAUUUUACGGGCCGUUUCCAAUCAACCUGCCAAAUUUUGGCCCAUUCCGAUACCGUCGUGACAAAUGACAAAAAAGCCCCUUCUGCAGUUUUUCUUUGUUAAUUUUUUGUCCAGCGCUUCUUCAACAUGACAUAAUUAGUACGGAAAUUAAUAAUUCGGAGGCCUAAACGAAGGAGUUUGGCCAAAAUCCCGUGAUCUCGGGUCUGUGCCCCGAGACCAACUUGUCGGGCCGUUUCUAAUCAACCUGCCUAAUUUCGACCCAUUCUAACACCAUCACGACAAAUGACAAUAUUGCCCCGGGUGCGAUUUUUCUUUGUUAAUUUUCUGUCCAGCCCUUCUUCAACCUGACGUAAUUAAUAAGGAAAGUAAUUCGUCGGAGGUCCAAACGAAGGAAUUUGGCUAAAAUCCCGUGAUCCUGGGUCUGUACCCCGAGUCCAAUUUCAAGCGCCGUUUCCAAUCAACCUGC